UACGUAGGUGGCAAGCGUUGUCCGGAUUUACUGGGCGUAAAGAGCGCGCAGGCGGUCGUUCAAGUCGCGUGUGAAAGCCCCCGGCUCAACUGGGGAGGGUCACGCGAUACUGAUCGACUCGAAGGCAGGAGAGGGAAGUGGAAUUCCCGGUGUAGUGGUGAAAUGCGUAGAUAUCGGGAGGAACACCAGUGGCGAAGGCGACUUCCUGGCCUGUUCUUGACGCUGAGGCGCGAAAGCUAGGAGAGCAAACGGG
rnacentral:rRNA from 1 species